rnacentral:rRNA from 1 species
UGCCAGACUCCUACGGGAGGCAGCAGUGGGGAAUAUUGCACAAUGGGGGAAACCCUGAUGCAGCGACGCCGCGUGAGCGAUGAAGUAUUUCGGUAUGUAAAGCUCUAUCAGCAGGGAAGAAAAUGACGGUACCUGACUAAGAAGCCCCGGCUAACUACGUGCCAGCAGCCGCGGUAAUACGUAGGGGGCAAGCGUUAUCCGGAUUUACUGGGUGUAAAGGGAGCGUAGACGGCGAUGCAAGCCAGAUGUGAAAGCCCGGGGCUCAACCCCGGGACUGCAUUUGGAACUGUGUGGCUGGAGUGUCGGAGAGGCAGGCGGAAUUCCUAGUGUAGCGGUGAAAUGCGUAGAUAUUAGGAGGUACACCAGUGGCGAAGGCGGCCUGCUGGACGAUGACUGACGUUGAGGCUCGAAAGCGUGGGGAGCAAACAGGAUUAGAUACCCUAGUACC